AAUACUCAAAGGAAAUUGGCUUUUCUCCUGAAAGAGAUGGAUUCAUUAAGAAAAUUUAGAUUGUGACUUUAAUGUUCGUUUUCAUGAACAUCACUGUUCACUAAAAUCAAAACGAGAAAUAUGUUUGGAGAAGGCGUUAACUAGAUUAGUAAAUGUUGAUUCUUGUUAGCUUAUCAGCUAAAAUAUUGCAUAGUGGCAAGGAAGAGCAAAUAGCUUGGCUGGAAUGUAGGUUUCAUUUAUAUCAGGAAAAUCAGGCUGUGGAGUCUAGAAACUCCUACGUAGGUUUUACCUAGGAGUGUGACUAAUGGAAUAGAGACGUUUAAUAGCACCAGCACAUUUCAGAAGGCUGCUGAAUAGUAGACAGUUGCAAAUACAUUAUAUUGAGGGAUCUGCUAACAGGAUGUACUCUGAACAAGAAAACAUUGCAGAAACAAUCUGCAUGUAUAUCAUAGCUCCAGGAUUACUGUUCAGGGGGUCAUUUAUGUUUAUAACCUUCAAAAAUUCAAAGCUCUUACGUUAUUUGAUCAUGCUUAUUUUCAUGGGAAUCAGUGAUUUUAUUCCUAUUUAAAUGGCUAAAGUUGUUAUGCAUUGGGAGAUGGGUUUCUUAUUCUGCCUUUACAUUAUAAAAAUAACAAAAUGAUAUAUUUGUUGUCUUCUCAAGUAUUUAUCCUUAUCCCUUAACAUCUGCCAAAUAAUUUUACCAAAGAAAAACAGGCAAAUCCAGAAUAUCUUCUUAUCUAGUGAAGGCCAUUGCUUAAAUAUGUCCACUCCAUAAAUCAAGUAAAUUACAACCCCAAGAUAUUUUCUUUUUUCACACUGAAUGCAUCCUGAAAACACAAAAUUAGGUACACCCUUUGUUGUUCUCAUAUACUGUUUAUGUGACACAUGUAAGUGAAAAUGGAUUAUGCUCUUAUAUACACAUUAAUCUCAAAAAAGACUUUUGUGCUUUUAGAAUUCACAGGCAAUGUGCAAAUUCUUGAUGAGCAUGUCUACAUUUUCUACUUAUUUUUGUGGUUGUUGUUUUGAGAUGGAGUCUAGCUCUGCCCCCUGGGCUGGAGUGCAAUGGUGCGAUCAUAGCUCACUUCAGUCUCAAAAUCCUGGGCUCAAGAGAUUGUCCCACCUCAGCCUACCGAGUAGCUAGAACCGCAGGUGCAUGUCACCAUGUCCAGCUAAUUUUUAUUUUUACUUUUAUUUUUUGUAAAGAUGUGGUCUCCCUGUAUUGCCCAGUCUGGCCUAGAACUCCUGGCCUCAACUGAUCCUCCUGACUCAGUCUCUCAAAGUGCUGGGAUUACAGGCAUGAGCCACCACACUGGCAAAUGUCUACAUUUUUAAAAACAAAUUAAACAUAAAGAGCUCAUAAAGAAUAGUCAAAGUUUAUUUGUGGAAAAAUAUAAGACUGAUCUAUAAGCUUUUAAUUCCGCUAUAAUUUGUGAAUGUAAACCUCUCUUUAAGAUAAAAGCAGAUGCUAGCAUCAUGAGGUACCUGAGGGCUCUAGUUAGUUACCAAGAUGGGAAAUGUGCCUGGGGCUUUCUGUAAUUGCAUUUCCACCUUGAUUUGAUAGGGUUGAUUUGGCAAACUAGCAUUUUCUCUCUAUCUGUGUACUUCCACCAUGCUCCAGCUCAGUGAUUUUCUAAUGUUGGUGGGCAGAGAAUCAAGUAGAGACUUAGUCAACUUGGGCCCCUCUCCAGAGACCUGCCUCAGUAGAACUAGGCUGGGGUCCAAGGAAACUAUUUGUAACAAGACCCCUUAGUAACUUUUUAUAACCCAAGAACGCUUCUACCUACAGUAUUGGCACUGCUGGAUAGAGUGGCCGGUGUGAGUCAAAUGAGGGUGCAUGCUCUAAAUUCUAAACCAGUAUCAAGAUUCAUCUGUGGAGAAUAUAGUGUUAAAUAAUGUUAUUUGUGAUUAAGCAUUAGCAUGUAUAGAAUUAAGUCAUGAACACUUUUCAUAGAAUGCAAACAAUGUAUACCCUACAUGACAUUAAAAAUCUAUGUCAUCAUUGUCAUCAUCAAAAUUACUAUUUGACAAACUCUUUUAAGAACGUGUGUACAUACACACCAUUUGCAAGCAACAAAAGUGACAGAGGGAAAACACUUCACUCAAGAUACACAGAACGAGGCCCAUAUGGAGAAAUGGACAGAAGUUACUGACAAAUAAAAUAAAAGAUUUGAACAGUAAGAAAAAUCUGCCUGUGUCUACAUAGAAAGUUGGCUAUCAUAAAGAUGAAAAUUCUCCCUAAAUCAAGUUACAUAUUCCUGAAAACAAAAUGUGAUUAUUUUUCCUGAAAGAAACUAUCCUCCAAAAAAGAGGGAGCCAUUUUAUAUUUGAGUUCUUACAAAAUCUCUCAUAAUGUGGGGGCCCCUCUCUAUUUUAUUUCAAACUUCAUUUUGGGAAGACACAAAGGCUCUUGAAAUGAGAGCCACCAAUGUUUGUUUUAGAUGCUUAUAAAGGUUUCCUCAUGGAGCUGUUAACAUAGCAAAAUAAAUUUUUUAACAAAGGAAAAUUUGGUAACUAUUUCUGGGGUAAAGAUUUUACAAUAGCAAGUAUUAUCACUAGACAUUACUUUAAAUGUGGAUUUUUUGAAAUCACGGUAGAAAACAAUAUAAAAAGUGUUCAUGUGGCAGUUGUUAAGAAUACACAUCUUCAGGGUUUUUUAAUAUAAAAAGGGGAAAGAACAGUCUCAUUAUUAUAUGCAUAGUUUCUCUGAUUUGGUACAAAAUUUUCCAGUGAUGUCACUGUGGAAUGAUCCAAGUGUUGCCUGUCAGCAGAGAUAGGAGUGAAGUUGAUGAUGAUGGUUAGAUGGCCUCACAAGGGACUCUAGUGAUAGUAAAGGUUCCAGUGGCAAACACACAAGUGAAAAGUUUGAAUAUAGUUUCAUAAUGUUUGAGAGUGUAAAAAAUGCAUUUUUAAAUUAAUACAUUACUUUCUGUACUAUUUUAGAUAAGUGUGUAUCUAAAUAAACACAUAAAAUGUUAUGAGUAAA
rnacentral:lncRNA from 1 species